rnacentral:rRNA from 1 species
AGAGUUUGAUCCUGGCUCAGGAUGAACGCUAGCGGCAGGCUUAACACAUGCAAGUCGAGGGGCAGCGGGAAGGAAGCUUGCUUUCUCCGCCGGCGACCGGCGCACGGGUGAGUAACACGUAUGCAACCUGCCCCUGUCAGGGGGACAACCCGCCGAAAGGCGGGCUAAACCCGCGUACAUGCCACCGGGGCAUCCCGGAGGCAGGAAAGGCUUCGGCCGGACAGGGAUGGGCAUGCGGCGCAUUAGGCAGUAGGCGGGGUAACGGCCCACCUAACCGACGAUGCGUAGGGGUUCUGAGAGGAAGGUCCCCCACACUGGUACUGAGACACGGACCAGACUCCUACGGGAGGCAGCAGUGAGGAAUAUUGGUCAAUGGUCGGGAGACUGAACCAGCCAAGCCGCGUGAGGGAGGAAGGUACAGAGUAUCGUAAACCUCUUUUGUCAGGGAACAAAGGCGGGGACGUGUCCCCGGAUGAGUGUACCUGAAGAAAAAGCAUCGGCUAACUCCGUGCCAGCAGCCGCGGUAAUACGGAGGAUGCGAGCGUUAUCCGGAUUUAUUGGGUUUAAAGGGUGCGCAGGCGGUCUGUUAAGUCAGCGGUCAAAGCCCGGGGCUCAACCCCGGCCCGCCGUUGAAACUGGCAGUCUCGAGUUGGAGAGAAGUAUGCGGAAUGCGCGGUGUAGCGGUGAAAUGCAUAGAUAUCGCGCAGAACUCCGAUUGCGAAGGCAGCAUGCCGGCUCCACACUGACGCUGAGGCACGAAAGCGUGGGUAUCGAACAGGAUUAGAUACCCUGGUAGUCCACGCAGUAAACGAUGAAUGCUGGCUGUCCGGGGGGAUUGACCCCUGGGUGGCGAAGCGAAAGCGAUAAGCAUUCCACCUGGGGAGUACGCCGGCAACGGUGAAACUCAAAGGAAUUGACGGGGGCCCGCACAAGCGGAGGAACAUGUGGUUUAAUUCGAUGAUACGCGAGGAACCUUACCCGGGCUCAAACGGGGAGUGACUCAGGCAGAGACGCCUGUUUCCCACGGGACACUCCCCGAGGUGCUGCAUGGUUGUCGUCAGCUCGUGCCGUGAGGUGUCGGCUUAAGUGCCAUAACGAGCGCAACCCCCGCGUGCAGUUGCUAACAGUCAACGCUGAGGACUCUGCACGGACUGCCGGCGCAAGCCGCGAGGAAGGCGGGGAUGACGUCAAAUCAGCACGGCCCUUACGUCCGGGGCGACACACGUGUUACAAUGGGUGGUACAGCGGGAAGCCAGGCGGCGACGCCGAGCGGAACCCGAAAUCCACUCUCAGUUCGGAUCGGAGUCUGCAACCCGACUCCGUGAAGCUGGAUUCGCUAGUAAUCGCGCAUCAGCCAUGGCGCGGUGAAUACGUUCCCGGGCCUUGCACUCACCGCCCGUCAAG